rnacentral:rRNA from 1 species
GAUGAACGCUGGCGGCGUGCCUAAUACAUGCAAGUCGAGCGAACGGACGAGAAGCUUGCUUCUCUGAUGUUAGCGGCGGACGGGUGAGUAACACGUGGAUAACCUACCUAUAAGACUGGGAUAACUUCGGGAAACCGGAGCUAAUACCGGAUAAUAUUUUGAACCGCAUGGUUCAAAAGUGAAAGACGGUCUUGCUGUCACUUAUAGAUGGAUCCGCGCUGCAUUAGCUAGUUGGUAAGGUAACGGCUUACCAAGGCAACGAUGCAUAGCCGACCUGAGAGGGUGAUCGGCCACACUGGAACUGAGACACGGUCCAGACUCCUACGGGAGGCAGCAGUAGGGAAUCUUCCGCAAUGGGCGAAAGCCUGACGGAGCAACGCCGCGUGAGUGAUGAAGGUCUUCGGAUCGUAAAACUCUGUUAUUAGGGAAGAACAUAUGUGUAAGUAACUGUGCACAUCUUGACGGUACCUAAUCAGAAAGCCACGGCUAACUACGUGCCAGCAGCCGCGGUAAUACGUAGGUGGCAAGCGUUAUCCGGAAUUAUUGGGCGUAAAGCGCGCGUAGGCGGUUUUUUAAGUCUGAUGUGAAAGCCCACGGCUCAACCGUGGAGGGUCAUUGGAAACUGGAAAACUUGAGUGCAGAAGAGGAAAGUGGAAUUCCAUGUGUAGCGGUGAAAUGCGCAGAGAUGUGGAGGAACACCAGUGGCGAAGGCGACUUUCUGGUCUGUAACUGACGCUGAUGUGCGAAAGCGUGGGGAUCAAACAGGAUUAGAUACCCUGGUAGUCCACGCCGUAAACGAUGAGUGCUAAGUGUUAGGGGGUUUCCGCCCCUUAGUGCUGCAGCUAACGCAUUAAGCACUCCGCCUGGGGAGUACGACCGCAAGGUUGAAACUCAAAGGAAUUGACGGGGGCCCGCACAAGCGGUGGAGCAUGUGGUUUAAUUCGAAGCAACGCGAAGAACCUUACCAAAUCUUGACAUCCUUUGACAACUCUAGAGAUAGAGCCUUCCCCUUCGGGGGACAAAGUGACAGGUGGUGCAUGGUUGUCGUCAGCUCGUGUCGUGAGAUAUUGGGUUAAGUCCCGCAACGAGCGCAACCCUUAAGCUUAGUUGCCAUCAUUAAGUUGGGCACUCUAAGUUGACUGCCGGUGACAAACCGGAGGAAGGUGGGGAUGACGUCAAAUCAUCAUGCCCCUUAUGAUUUGGGCUACACACGUGCUACAAUGGACAAUACAAAGGGCAGCGAAACCGCGAGGUCAAGCAAAUCCCAUAAAGUUGUUCUCAGUUCGGAUUGUAGUCUGCAACUCGACUACAUGAAGCUGGAAUCGCUAGUAAUCGUAGAUCAGCAUGCUACGGUGAAUACGUUCCCGGGUCU